rnacentral:lncRNA from 1 species
CGACCUCAGAGGGCAAGCGUCCGAGGUUGAGGAGAAGGGGCCUUACGGAGCCCAAUCCCCCCUCCUGAGAUAAGUCGGUGGUAACAGUGACAAUAAUAACGAUUUUGUGGUAUCCGUUAAGCGCUCACUAGGUGUCGGGCUCCCUUCUAAGCGCCGGGGUGGAUACAAGGUAAUCGGGUUGGACGCAGUUCCUGUCCCACCUGGGGCUCACGGUCUUUAUCCCCAUUUCACGGAGGAGGUAACUGAGGCAGUUCCUUGUCCCACGUGGGGCUCACGGUCUUAUCCCCAUUUCACGGAGGAGGUAACUGAGGCAGUUCCUGUCCCACGUGGGGCUCCCGGUCUUAUCCCCAUUUCACGGAGGAGGUAACUGAGGCAGUUCCUUGUCCCACGUGGGGCUCCCGGUCUUAUCCCCAUUUCACGGAGGAGGUAACUGAGGCAGUUCCUUGUCCCACGUGGGGCUCACGGUCUCUAUCCCCAUUUUACAGAGGAGGUAACCGAGGCACAGAGAAGCCAAAUGACUUACUCGAGGCCACACGGCGGACAGAUGGCGGAACCGAGAUCAGGACCCUUGACCUUCUGCCUCUCAGGCUGGUGUUCUAUCCGCUAGCGGGCCCAUCCUCCCGUCCUUCUUUGGCUCCCUUCCCCGCUUCCCCUUCAGAGGAGCCCGACACUCAGACCCCGGGGCCGUUGGCCGUGGCCCUCCAAGAUUCAGCGGAAGUGUGGGAGCAGGUGAUAAGACAGCGUCUGGCUUUACCAAAGGCUGAUUUGCUUUUGUGUCUCCUCCUCUGGUGCUGUUUUCCACCAGAAGGGAGGCUUGGUUUUCAUAUCUCCGCAGGUGAGUGGUGGUCUGUGUCGUGGGUAUAUGAGAGGGGAGGGGAUCGCGUUGGGAGGAGGGGCCUGGUGAACAGAGUAGCUGCGGAUAGUGGUUCUCGUAGUUAUCAACAGCUUACUGUGUGCAGAGCACUGUUCUGAACUCUGAAAAAAGGGUACGCGGGUGAAAAUUUGUCACCGUCCCCGUCUCGCAGAGGGGUCACAGUCGAAAAAGAGCGUUCACAAAUAAAAUAACAAUGUUGGCAUUUGUUAAGCGCUUACUAUGUGCAGAGCACCGUUCUAAGCGCUGGGGUAGUCACAGGGGAAUCGGGUUGUCCCACGUGGGGCUCACGGUCUUCAUCCCCAUUUUACAGAUGAGGUCACCGAGGCCCAGAGAAGCGAAGUGACUCGCCCACAGUCACACAGCUGACAGGUGGCGGAGCCGGGAGUCGGACUCAUGACCUCUGACUCCGAAGCCCGUGCUCUUUCCCCUGAGCCCCUGAGCCAUGCCGCUUCUCUCCUAAAAUCCCUCCUAAAUGCAGUCUCAACAGUCUUCCUUAACGGGAAAUCCCGCUUUUAUGAAUUUCUAUUCCUGUCUGUCUCCCCCUCUAGAUUGGAAGCUCAGUUUGGACAGGGAACGUGUCUACCAUCUCUGCUAUGUUGUACUCUCCCAAGCCCUCAGUGCAGUGCUCCGCGCACGGCAAGCGCUCGAUAAUGCC